rnacentral:sRNA from 1 species
GCCGGGCAUGGUGGCGCAUGCCUAUAAUCCUAGCGGCUCCGGAGGCUGAGGCAGGAGGAUCAAGAGUUCAAAGCCAACCUCAG